AUCCCUCCCGAGCACGCCACCGCCUCUGCUCGCAACUAUCCUGAGAACACUGCCGCUGCUGUCACCUCGGAUCUACCAACUCCGCCUCCACAGGUGAGCCACCUCCGCUCGCAUCUUGUAGAUUGAAUCAGACACGAGUAGUUUCUUGUAGAUCGAAUUCGGACUUUGAUCCGUGUAGCCCACCGGCAAAACGUCAAGGGCGUGCGCCGGCUCGGCGUUGCGGCGGCUGUACCCCUCGAUGUGUGCUCUCUGCGACGUGAACCUCUGUUCCUCCACACCUGUACCCCUUCCCCAUGGUUGGGCCACACGCUGGACUAGGAGCAUGCCCCUACGCCACCUUCCAACAAGGGGAUGGGUUAAAUUCUAUAUCUCUUCCUCAUGUCUUGAGCACAAGGGGCUAGGUUAAAUUAUGGUGAAAAUCAAGUAGGAGUUAGGAUUUGGAGCUGUUUUUUAAUUUCUGAAGGAAGAACAUAUGUUCUCCAAAGUGUUUCUGAAUCCUUCUGUCUUUAAAUAUUAAAAUUGUUAUCUCUUCAAAUUUCAAGUAGGAGUUGAAAUUACUCGGCUGUAUGUAUAUAUGUUGAGGCCUCAGUGCUGCUAGAAUAUACCUGGUAGGGGUUUUGGACCAAGGGUUGAAUCCUAGAUGAAUUAGGGUUACUGUUAGUCGUCAUGACAGAUUUUUUGUUGAAAAAUGUUUAACAGGUGAACUAAACUUAGACUCUAAUUAAUGUCUUUAUUAAUCUGAAUAAUAGCCAAGAUCACAUUUUUCCUCGUCAUGCUAGACUAGACCUACCUACAACAGCUAUACCAGUUGUAGUUGUCAGCUCAUGGAAGCACAAUAGCUAAAACCAGAUACUAACACAAGUUUUCCUCAUCUUGAACUGCAAUAGUUUUCUGUAUCUUGAACUGCAAUUGUCAGCUCAUGGAAGCACAAUAGCUAAAACCAGAUCCUAACACAAGUUUUCCUCAUCUUGAACUGCAAUAGUUUUCUGUAUCAAGUUUUUUUAUCUGUUAAAUGUUAGUAUAUCACAAUGUGAUCAAAACAAUAAAAUUCUUCAUAUCCUUUAGUUCGUAUUGUACUGAUCACUAUUUAGAGCAAGUUCUGAAAAUGUCAAAUUAUAUUGCUUCCAGCUGUUUUCGGUCUCUUGUUCAAUUAGGUACUAUUAGUCAUGUAUCUUGCCUUCGAAACUGUAUCCUCAGCUUAUGUUCUGUAUAUUCUCUAUUUCUUUCUUUCAAGAAAAAUGUGUAAUGAAAAGUAGUAUUAUGUUUUAAAAUAUAAUGGCUUUCAGUGACAUGUAUAUUCGUUACUUGUUUUUGAGUUUUGACACACUAGAAUCUCUCUAAUGUUGUGUAUUGAUUAUUUCUCUUGAUAUAUUGAUUACACCUACUGCUACCACCAGACACCUACCAACUGUUUUGGAGCUUGCUGGUAAGGAUCAUUGCGAAACUUGCUACAAAGUACCAACUGUUUGCAUACUCAAGAUUAGUGGUGAGUAGUCAUUGUCCAUGCAUAUAUAUAUUUAAUUAAUCAAUCGAUUGUUGCCAUUACUACAGGUUAUAGCUUUACUGUGACUUGUUCUUCUUGUGUCUAGGACGAAAUCUCGUGUGUUUGUAUAUGUGGCAGUUUGGCUCCCAUGUUUGUAUGAAAGACUGCUGCACUCUGUCAUGUGCCGCUGACUUUUAUUAGUUUUAAUUAUCAUGGCUAGAUGCACUUAUAUUCAUACGACAAUUAUCAUGUCAAUUUUUUCUAUCAUAUCAGUCGUCAAGGAUUUAUUUUUCUUUCAAUCUCUACUAGUGUCUGUUUCAAAAAUAUUAUCAGUAAGUCGCAUGAUUUUUAUUACAGCACACUAAAAGCAUUAAUAUUACUAGGUUGAUGCCCUUGUUAUCAAUAUAGUUGUUGAUUGAUCUGUUAGAUUUUCUAAAUAUUUCCUAUUUUUCUUUGAUUUUUUAUGAUUUUUUGAAGUAUUUUGUCUCAAGAGGGGUUUUUAGCCCCUUGGUUGCCAAACAGUGGCAGGGAAAUACAAUGGGGGUUAUGAUUACUUGAAUUCUGUCAUUUGUUUUAGUAAUUAUGUGAUCUGCAAUUAAUCUAGCACAAGCACAUUCAAAUUGACCAAUUUCUACUAGUGCUAUUACUUUAUCCCGAAUGGAUGGCUUCCUUCCGAAAAGACUAGUUUCACUAGUUUGGCCUAAUAGGUAUUGAUCUAUGGUAUCUAGACUACAUAUUGUACUAUAUGGUAUUGAGCUAUGGUAUCUUUGGUCAUUGAUUAAUUAUAUGCCCACCACUAUUGUAUUGCUCUUGUUACACUGUAGUGUAUGCUUUGUCACUUGAAUGAGAUUUGGUUUUAUGAAAGACACUUCUGCUUGAGGUAAAAUAGGUUUUCCAAUCUGUGAUAGAAUAUUAAGUGUUUCAUGAGCCACCCAGCUGCCUAAGAUUUGUUUUCUUUCCCUGUGGUUAUUUUUGUCUUUGCUCACAGUGCAUUUUGAGAAGGAUAAGGCUUUGGCUCGCAGAUUCCAGCCAGUAUUGGUGAAUGAGCCUAGCCAGGAGGACGCUGUCAAGAUAUUACUUGGUCUGCGUGAGAAAUAUGAGACUUACCAUAAAUGCAAAUACACUUUAGAAGGGAUCAAUGCAGCAGUUUACUUGUCAGCAAGAUACAUCCCUGACAGGUAUCUUCCUGAUAAGGCUAUUGAUCUGAUAGAUGAAGCAGGCAGUAGAGCUCAGAUGGAAUCAUUUAAAAGGAAGAAGGAAGAACAAUGCUCCAUUCUCUCCAAGUCACCAGACGAAUAUUGGCAAGAGAUUAGAGCUGUUCAGAGUACACAUGAAGUGGUAAUGCAAUGUUCAUGGUAGAGCAGUUGCAACUUGCAAAUGUUUCAUAUACUAGUGGAUGUUUAUAAUUCACUGUACAUCACAUUUCAGGCGCUGGCUAACAGGUUGAAGUAUUCUCUUGAUGAGAAUGACAAAGAGGAUGGUGUUAAUAUUGAAGUCAUAGGGGACAACAAGAUUGCUUCGCCAUCGAUGCCUCCAACUUUAGUCGAUGAGUAGGUUCCCUCGUGUCACGUCAUACAGACGAAGGCUGGCAGCACCGUGACUGAAGGACCAGUAGUGGUCAAUUCUGCACCUAUAGCAGACGCUAGCACUGGGUCAUCUCCUGUCACUACUAGGCCCAGACCUCAGUCACCAUACCCUAAUUAUCCAGAUUUCAAGCCACCAUCCUCGCCUUCGCCGUCAGCACCUUAAUUUGGCAAGAGUACAAGAAACCGGGUCUAGAGGAUAUUAAAGAAGUUGAGUUGUUCAUAUGGAGCUGGCAUCUCACCAGAGGUGUAUGUUGUAUUAUGAGCGUGACAGUGUGGCUAAGUCACUGUGGCAAGUUUUCUGCAGCAGUAAAUAUAUGAGGAUGCCAAG